AUUGAACGCUGGCGGCAGGCCUAACACAUGCAAGUCGAACGGUAACAGGAAGCAGCUUUCUGCUUCGCUGACGAGUGGCGGACGGGUGAGUAAUGUCUGGGAAGCUGCCUGAUGUAGGGGGAUAACUACUGGAAACGGUAGCUAAUACCGCAUAAUGUCGCAAGACCAAAGAGGGGGACCUUCUGGCCUCUUGCCAUCGUAUGUGCCCAGAUGGGAUUAGCUUGUUGGUGGGGUAACGGCUCACCAAGGCGACGAUCCCUAGCUGGUCUGAGAGGAUGACCAGCCACACUGGAACUGAGACACGGUCCAGACUCCUACGGGAGGCAGCAGUGGGGAAUAUUGCACAAUGGGCGCAAGCCUGAUGCAGCCAUGCCGCGUGUAUGAAGAAGGCCUUCGGGUUGUAAAGUACUUUCAGCGGGGAGGAAGGGAGUAAAGUUAAUACCUUUGCUCAUUGACGUUACCCGCAGAAGAAGCACCGGCUAACUCCGUG
rnacentral:rRNA from 1 species